rnacentral:snRNA from 1 species
ACCGUUGCCCAUUUUGCUGGACA